GCCACAUUAGCUUAGUGGUAGAGCAUCCGCCUUGUAAGCGGAAGGUCGGCGGAUCAAUCCCGCCAUGUGGCU
rnacentral:tRNA from 1 species